AAUACGGGUCUGGAGGUUGGGGACCGUGAACCGGACCGGCACGGCCCGCCAAACCAUAAAGGUUCGGCACGGCACGGCCCGAACCGGGACCGGCCCGCCAAACCGUGAAUCUGUACGCAACUAUGCACUCAGUUUUGAUUUUAUUUAUGUUUUAGUUUUUUGUUUAUAAUUUAGUUAUUUGAUUUCAUUUUAGUUUGUAAGGUUGAG
rnacentral:lncRNA from 1 species